rnacentral:rRNA from 1 species
GAUGAACGCUGGCGGCGUGCCUAAUACAUGCAAGUCGAGCGAACAGACGAGGAGCUUGCUCCUCUGACGUUAGCGGCGGACGGGUGAGUAACACGUGGAUAACCUACCUAUAAGACUGGGAUCACUUCGGGAAACCGGAGCUAAUACCGGAUAAUAUCUUGCACCGCAUGGUUCAAUAGUGAAAGACGGUUUUGCUGUCACUUAUAGAUGGAUCCGCGCCGCAUUAGCUAGUUGGUAAGGUAACGGCUUACCAAGGCAACGAUGCGUAGCCGACCUGUGAGGGGGAUCGGUCACACUGGAACUGAGACACGGUCCAGACUCCUACGGGAGGCAGCAGUAGGGAAUCUUACGCAAUGGGCGAAAGCCUGACGGAGCAACGCCGCGUGAGUGAUGAAGGUCUUCGGAUCGUAAAACUCUGUUAUUAGGGAAGAACAAAUGUGUAAGUAACUAUGCACGUCUUGACGGUACCUAAUCAGAAAGCCACGGCUAACUACGUG